rnacentral:rRNA from 1 species
CRAWYACMUCCGYCCGGAKGKGAUUAGUGGCGAACGGGUGAGUAACACRUGGGCAAUCUGCCCUGCACUCUGGGACAAGCCCUGGAAACGGGGUCUAAUACCGGAUACUGACCCGCUUGGGCAUCCRAGCGGUUCGAAAGCUCCGGCGGUGCAGGAUGAGCCCGCGGCCUAUCAGCUUGUUGGUGAGGUAAUGGCUCACCAAGGCGACGACGGGUAGCCGGCCUGAGAGGGCGACCGGCCACACUGGGACUGAGACACGGCCCAGACUCCUACGGGAGGCAGCAGUGGGGAAUAUUGCACAAUGGGCGAAAGCCUGAUGCAGCGACGCCGCGUGAGGGAUGACGGCCUUCGGGUUGUAAACCUCUUUCAGCAGGGAAGAAGCGAAAGUGACGGUACCUGCAGAAGAAGCGCCGGCUAACUACGUGCCARCAGCCGCGGUAAUACGKAUGGCGCGAGCGUUGUCCGGAAUUAUUGGGCGUUMAGAGCYCGYAGGCGGCUUGUCAAGUUSGUYGUKAAAGCCCGGGGCUUMUCCCCGGGUCUGCACWCUAUACCGGUACGCCAGAGAUUCCUAUGUGMCAUACCAA